UGAAUACGAGAUGCUACGGCGUCGAAGCAGUCUAUGUCAUACUUCCAAGAAAAGCUCGCACUGUCAUAAACAAAUAAUGCCUGUACCAUAACCGACACAGGUGGGUAGGUAGAGUAUACUAAGGGGCGCGAGAUAACUCUCUCUAAGGAACUCGGCAAAAUGACUCCGUAACUUCGGGAGAAGGAGUGCCUUAUUUAUAAGGUUGCAAUAACAAGAUCCAAGCAACUGUUUAUCAAAAACACAGGUCUCCGCUAAGUCGUAAGACGAUGUAUGGGGGCUGACGCCUGCCCAGUGCCAGAAGGUUAAAGAAGUUGGUUAGCAUUCGCGAAGCUGAUAACUGAAGCCCUGGUGAACGGCGGCCGUAACUAUAACGGUCCUAAAGUAGCGAAAUUCCUUGUCGGGUAAGUUCCGACCCGCACGAAAGGCGUAAUGAUUUGGAUGCUGUCUCGGAGAGGGGCUCGGUGAAAUAGACUUGUCUGUGAAGAUGCGGACUACCUGCACCAGGACAGAAAGACCCUAUGAAGCUUUACUGUAACUUGAGAUUGAAAUUGGACUUUACUUGCGCAGUAUAGGUGGGAGGCGUUGAUAAUAUUCUUGCGGGAUUAUUUGAGCCAUCAGUGAGGUACCACUCUUGUAAUGUUAGAUUUCUAACUUUGUAUCAUUAUCUGGUCAAAGGACAGUUUCAGGCGGGCAGUUUGACUGGGGCGGUCGCCUCCUAAACGGUAACGGAGGCGCACAAAGGUUUCCUCUGAACGGGUAGAAAUCGUAUCUAGAGUGUAAAGGCAUAAGGAAGCUUGACUGUGAGACCUACAAGUCGAGCAGGGACGAAAGUCGGUCUUAGUGAUCUGACGGUGCUGAGUGGAAAGGCCGUCACUCAACGGAUAAAAGUUACUCUAGGAUAACAGGCUGAUCUCCCCCAAGAGUUCACAUCGACGGGGAGGUUUGGCACCUCGAUGUCGGCUCAUCGCAUCCUGGGGCGGUAGUACGUCCCAAGGGUUGGGCUGUUCGCCCAUGAAAGCGGUACGCGAGCUGGGUUCAGAACGUCGUGAGACAGUUCGGUCCAUAUCCGGUGUAGGCGUUAGAAUAUUGAGAGGAGCCUUCUUUAGUACGAGAGGACCGAGAAGGACAUACCUCUGGUGUACCAGUUAUCGUGCCAACGGUAAACGCUGGGUAGCUAUGUAUGGAGUGGAUAACCGCUGAAAGCAUCUAAGUGGGAAGCCCACCUCAAGAUAAGUAUUCUCC
rnacentral:rRNA from 1 species